rnacentral:rRNA from 1 species
CGCAAUAAGGGACAUCCGCGUGAGGGAGGAGGCUCUUGGGUUGUAAACCUCUUUUCUCAGGGAAGAACAAAAUGACGGUACCUGAGGAAUAAGCAUCGGCUAACUCCGUGCCAGCAGCCGCGGUAAUACGGAGGAUGCAAGCGUUAUCCGGAAUGAUUGGGCGUAAAGCGUCCGCAGGUGGCAUUGCAAGUCUGCUGUCAAAGGUCAGGGCUUAACCCUGAAAAGGCAGUGGAAACUGAAAUGCUGGAGUGCGGUAGGGGUAGAGGGAAUUCCCGGUGUAGCGGUGAAAUGCGUAGAGAUCGGGAAGAACACCAGUGGCGAAGGCGCUCUACUAGGCCGCAACUGACACUCAUGGACGAAAGCUAGGGGAGCGAAUGGGAUUAGAUACCCCCAGUAGUCA